GACUCUACUUGACUAGCUGAGAGGAGGUGCAUGGCCGUCGUCAGUUCGUACUGUGAAGCAUCCUGUUAAGUCAGGCAACGAGCGAGACCCACGCCAACAGUUGCCAGCUCGUCCUCCGGGAUGGUGGGGGACACUGUUGGGACCGCCUCUGCGUAAAGAGGAGGAAGGAAUGGGCAACGGUAGGUCAGCAUGCCCCGAAUUAUCUGGGCUACACGCGGGCUACAAUGGGUGGGACAAUGGGUAUCGACACCGAAAGGUGAAGGCAAUCUCCUAAACCCAUCCGUAGUUCGGAUUGUGGGCUGCAACUCGCCCACAUGAAGCUGGAAUCUGUAGUAAUCGUGUCUCAAAAUGGCACGGUGAAUAUGUCCCUGCUCCUU
rnacentral:rRNA from 1 species